UACAGGGGGUGCAAACGUUGCUCGGAAUCAUUGGGCGUAAAGCGCACGUAGGCGGUUUGUUAUGUCGGAUGUGAAAGCCCUUGGCUCAACUGAGGAAGUGCAUCCGAAACUGGCAAGCUAGAGUACUAAAGAGGGUCGCGGAAUUCCCGGUGUAGAGGUGAAAUUCGUAGAUAUCGGGAGGAACACCGGUGGCGAAGGCGGCGAUCUGGGCCAAUAUUGACGCUGAGGUGCGAAAGCGUGGGGAGCAAACAGG
rnacentral:rRNA from 1 species